UACAGAGGUCCCAAGCGUUGUUCGGAUUCAUUGGGCGUAAAGGGUGCGUAGGUGGCGUCGUAAGUCGGGUGUGAAAUCUCGGGCUUAACUCCGAACUGCAUUCGAUACUGCGGUGCUUGAGGACUGGAGAGGAGACUGGAAUUACGGUGUAGCAGUGAAAUGCGUAGAGAUCGUAAGGAAGACCAGUGGCGAAGGCGGUCUCUGGACAGUUCCUGACACUGAGGCACGAAGGCCAGGGAGCAACGG
rnacentral:rRNA from 1 species